UGCGUAGGUGGCAGUGUUAGUCAGUUGUUAAAACCUGGGGCUUAACCCCAGUCAUGCGACUGAAACGGCACAGCUAGAGGAUGGCAGGGAUGUAUAGAACUCAUGGAGUAGGGGUGAAAUCCGUUGAUAUCAUGGGGAAUACCAAAAGCGAAGGCAGUACAUUGGGCCACUCCUGACACUGAAACACGAAAGCGUGGUAGCGAAUG
rnacentral:rRNA from 1 species